AUUCCUUAGACAAGUAAUUCUCUCUAAAUGAUUUAUUCACUUUUGACCUUUAUAAAUAAACUAUCAACGCAUUAGUUUUAAUUUCAGAUUUAACAUCAAUGAACCCCGUUUAAGAACUUACUACGAACACUAUAUUAAUUAAGUAGAAAAGAAAACCUCUUAUUGGCUGAAAACAGAAAUACCGGAGAUUGUUUUCCUUUUACAAGAUAGCUCAUAUUUAUUUCGCUUAUAUCUUAAGGACGCAUUCAUUUAAUUUUAUUAUUGUUUACUGAAUUUUAUUCGAGCCUCAUAUUUGGGUCAGUACUGGCGAAACGGCAAAGCAAUUAUACACAUUCCUUUUUUACUAAAUUAUUUUCACUUUUAGAUAGAAAUUAUUAUAUCACAACCACGCAUGUUCCCCCACCCACACUUCCACACCAUUUUUUCCUGCUGUUUCUCAGCCAUCUCAGACACAUUUUUAUUUAUUAUUCAAGUUUACAUCCCACCUUAAGUAAAAGUAUAAAAUCAUGAAACCUGCCGUUACUGUCAUGUAACAAUGAUGUAUUGUAUAAGGCAAGUUUGUAAGUAUCUUACAUUGCUGAAUGUUCCCAGCCCGAGGGACACGAUGGAAUGAGAAACCGUGUCUUUAACGAAAACCGUGUCUUAUUACACAGGCUGACAUAUUGGGUAGCGCAAACCUUGUCUUUAAAUGCAAGCUAUGCUUACGUAGCAUCAGCGAAAUUUAUGACGGGCAGUGGAAGGAACGGCUUCACGGAAUUUAUACCUUUCUGGAACCGGUUUGAUCCAGUUCUGUUGAGCGUGGGUUGCAUAAACACAAAGGAAUUUCUGAUUUUACCCCACCACCUACCCCAUGUCCACACUCAAAUUCAGUUAGAGAGGUAUUCAAAGUUUCUAUUUGGUCAGUGGGCCAUUUCUAAAGAAACCUCCCCAUUUUAUUUACUUUAUUUACUUUUAAAAAUUUAUUUUCCUUCGUAAAAAAAUUCAGAAACCUGUUUCUGUCAUACAACAAACAUGUUUCAUGACCAUUAAGCUACAUUUUGUGUUUGUUGAUUUCUCCCAUAACUGGUCAUAAAGGUCUUUAUAGUUUUACACACAUAGAAGGGUACACGAAUUAUGUUCACUUUAGAUAGAAAUUAUUACAUCACAACCUAGCAUGCCCCCUCCCCCGUCCCAGAUCACUUUUUAAUUCAUUUUGUUUAAACAUGUAUUAUUUUAUUUUCAAAUACAAUUUCUCGUGUCAUAUUACCACAAUUAAUUACUAAAAAAAAAUUCCCCACAGAUUUUCAAAAAAACAUAGGAAUGUCCAUCCAAAUAUUACCAAUUUUGUCUCAAAACAGUCUUGCGGAGACGGCCAUUUUCAGUAUGUUGCCAUGGCAAAGAUAUCUAAUUUAGAUGAAGUUGCGCUAAACAUGUCAUUUUGGACGGGUUACCAUUAAAGUUGCUUUAAUUUGGCAUUUUUUGUGACCAAUAAUGUAGGACCAUUGUCUUUGCAAUUGCUUUAAACAUUAGACGUUUCAUUGUCUUAGGUUAAUUACGUUAAGACGUGUUUUUGACAACUCGUUACUUUAAGGUCUCAACAUUGUGUCAAAUCAAUAAAAUCUAUAUAAUAUGUCCGAGUCGUUAUUGACGCAGACUGAGGUUCAACUUCAAAAGUGCUUUUAUGUGUGUUCUCGGAGCAUUUGACAAGUGUAUAUAUUAUGGUUAAAGAUGCAAGUGCACCUGAGUAAUUAAUAUGUUGAAAUAAACAGAAAAAUAUCAAAGCCUGUCUAGGAUGAAUAUGGUGCGAAGUAUACACCAGAUUUCACAUAGUCAUAUAAUAUGUUUAUUGAUAUUUUGGUUGUUAAAACAUCGGAGCAGAUCUAGAUCUACGUUAGGAUGUUUAAUCACUGGAAUUCUUUUGCAAAAAUACACGACAUGGGCAACGAUACAUAAUAGAUUAAAAUGUACUAAAACAUUGUAUACGAACAAGCGCAAUAAAUAUCUUACAAUGCAAGUAACUGCCUAGUUGUUUAAAUGUUCUGACACGUCUCGAUUUGUUCCUUAAUAAAAUACCACUUGGACUACGCUCUAGUGAUAUUAACCGUUCGGAUCUGCAUUCGCUUGAUGUUCGUGAGUGGAAGUCGUCGUUUUACAUUUUUGGUGAAUAGCACAGAGUUUGAUGUAAAAUAACAAUGCAAAUAGGAAAACUGCUUACUUUUUGCAUAAACAGACAGAUCAACAUCCUUAUUUUGCCUAUAUUAUCAUUUUUACUUGACCGAUUUUCGUAGACUAUCUGUGUAGAUAACGUACACACUUUCACAGUCGAGAGAAGUGUUUGAGAAAAGUACUGAGAACUGAAUGCAGACGUUUUAUGUGGAGGGAAGCAGUCGUUUUGCUGUCUUCUACGCUCUUUAUUCAAAUAAUAAGGAAAUUAUAGGCAAAAUGUCACCUGAAUCAGGAUAUUUUCUCCGUGUAUACGUCUGCAAAACUCACGUGGGUUGGCCCCCUGCAGCCUGAAGGUUGAAUGCAAGUCCAUUCAAUACCAGCGACAUAAUAUCAUGCAUUUGCAUGCAUUAAACUUCUAGGUAGAGCGAUACGAUGCGUCCUUUUAGAUAAAAAGAGUUUAUUAUUUAGAUCGUAGUCAGUAAAUAUUUAUGAAACGCGCUUUUAUUGACUUUUAUUAAGACAUUUGUUUUAAUACCUUGAUUUAGUUUAUAUGUAAUAACAGACAUUUGUAACAUUAGCAGAUUUUACAGAUACUGUCUUGUUAUACAACUCUCUGGGAUUUAAACUUAGUAGCCAUGUUUAAUGUUCAUAUGACGGAAGGAUUGAAGAUGAUCACGUCACAUGAUGGAAUAGCGACAGUGCAUAUGACCAAUGGAGAGAAUCGUUUUCGAUUAUCGUUUGUUAAUGCUUGGAUGAAAAUAUUGGAAGAAAUAGAAAAGAACAGUGAUAUAAAAGGAGUAAUAAUAACAGGAAAUGGGAAAUACUUCAGUCUGGGUCUCGAUCUUGCUUAUCUUAGCACACAGACUGCAGAGUAUUUAGAGGAAACGAGAAUCAGCACAGCAAAGCUCUGCAGACGACUAAUUCUGUUGCCAGUGCCAACUGUUGCCGUAAUUAAUGGUCAUUGUUUUGGCGCUGGUGUAUUUCUUGCAUUAGCAUGUGACUACAGGGUGAUGCGAUCAGAUCGAGGCUGGUUGUGUUGGCCGGAAGUUGCACUGAACAUACGCAAUCCUCCAUACGUUAUUCAUUUAUAACGCCUUAAAUUUCCAGUAGGAAAAGCAAUACGAGAUGCGGUAAUACUGGGGAAACGGCUUACUGCACGAGAUUCACAUGAUCUGCAGUUAGUGAACAUAGUUUCAUCACAGGAGACUUUAAACGAUGACGCUACAAAACUGCUUCAUGAAGUUCUUGGCAAAAACGGUAUUGACAGACAAUCAUUGAAGCAGAUGAAAGCUGACAUUUACGAUUUCCCUCGUCAUCUUUAUGCCGAUAAUACAGCAAAACUGUAGUUUAGUUUCAACCAUGCAAUGUUUUUGUCUUUGGUUUUUACACCGUCCAACGGUAGACUAUGUGAGAAUAUGUGAUUUCAAGAUUUUUUUAUUCAAGAAUUUAGCCCACAUGGGCUUCAGCCUUGUAAAGGCGACGAACAUUUACAUGCAAAUACAUGUACAAAGAACAGUGCGUAUACAUGUAAUAAUACAUAACAGACACAAUAAAAUCUUACUGUAG